rnacentral:rRNA from 1 species
UACAGAGGUCUCAAGCGUUGUUCGGAUUCAUUGGGCGUAAAGGGUGCGUAGGCGGCGCGGUAAGUCGGGUGUGAAAUUCGAGGCUUAACUUCGAAACUGCAUUCGAUACUGCCGUGCUAGAGGACUGGAGAGGAGACUGGAAUUUACGGUGUAGCGGUGAAAUGCGUAGAUAUCGUAAGGAAGACCAGUGGCGAAGGCGGGU